AUAAAAUUUUAUAUUAGACGUUUGAAUUUAAGUCGAAGUUUUGAUAAUCUUAAAUGUAACCCCUAAAAUACAGUCGAUAGUAUUUGAUGAAACAACUCCCUCAUUAAAAAUCGAUUACUUUUAUAAAAUAGCUGUAAAAUAAAUGGCAACCCAAACGAAACAAAAAAUAUCUAUCCCCCGAAACAUAUUACAUAUACUCCACAUCUUUCAUAUAUGUUUGUUUAUCGGUAUGUCUUUAAUAUUAUCUCUUCUUACCCCAAA